UUUAAAAAAAAAAAAAAAAAACCAGUGCAAUGCGUGAGCAAAUAUCUAGUUUGUUUAUAUUCUUGUUUUCUCGGGGGCAUCUACUUUCCACUCCUUACAGUCACAUUUUUUAUGUGAAAGGAACAUUUUCCCCCAAUUUUUUUACUAAUUACUGGGCUACUUAACAGGAGGUAGUCCCUUCAGUCUAGAAAUGGCAAUAGGGCAGGAUGAAGUGGGGACAUGGAGCUGUUCCCCAUCUUCGACCUUGAGGGGAUCUCAGUUUCCUACUUGAAUAUAUAUUUUCUUCUUUGUUCAUUGCGAUAUUUUUAUUUUCAAUUUUAAAUGUACUA
rnacentral:misc_RNA from 1 species